rnacentral:rRNA from 1 species
UGAGGAAUAUUGGUCAAUGGGCGAGAGCCUGAACCAGCCAAGUCGCGUGAAGGAUGAAGGUUCUAUGGAUCGUAAACUUCUUUUAUAGGGGAAUAAAGUGAGCUACGUGUAGCUUUUUGUAUGUACCCUAAGAAUAAGGAUCGGCUAACUCCGUGCCAGCAGCCGCGGUAAUACGGAGGAUCCGAGCGUUAUCCGGAUUUACUGGGUGUAAAGGGCGAGUAGGCGGGCUUGUAAGUCAGAUGUGAAAUCUGGGGGCUCAACCCCCAAACUGCAUUUGAAACUAUGAGUCUUGAGUGAUGGAGAGGCAGGCGGAAUUCCCAGUGUAGCGGUGAAAUGCGUAGAUAUUAGGAGGAACACCAGUGGCGAAGGCGGCCUGCUGGGCUUUUACUGACGCUGAGGCUCGAAAGUGUGGGUAGCAAACA